GACGAACCGUCCAAACGUUGUUCGGAAUCACUGGGCUUAAAGGGCGCGUAGGCGGGAUCGUAAGUCAGGGGUGAAAUCCCACGGCUCAACCGUGGAAGUGCCUUUGAUACUGCGGACCUCGAGGUGGGCAGGGGCGUGCGGAACUUCCGGUGGAGCGGUGAAAUGCGUAGAUAUCGGAAGGAACACCGGUGGCGAAAGCGGCACGCUGGGCCCGUACUGACGCUGAGGCGCGAAAGCCAGGGUAGCAAACGGG
rnacentral:rRNA from 1 species